AUUUAUAUAGUAUAAAAGUAUAUAUAACUUCCAAUUAUAAGGUCUAAAAUUUUUAGUAUAAAUA
rnacentral:tRNA from 1 species